UGCGGGAAAGUUUGAUUUACAUAAGCUUCAGUCUGGAUCCAGAACACCUGAGAAGAAAUGAUGCCAACCCCUCUAAGGGACCUCAGAUCAUGCCAACCCUGAAACAACAUACA